rnacentral:rRNA from 1 species
GUGGGGAAUCUUGCGCAAUGGGCGAAAGCCUGACGCAGCCAUGCCGCGUGAAUGAUGAAGGUCUUAGGAUUGUAAAAUUCUUUCACCGGGGACGAUAAUGACGGUACCCGGAGAAGAAGCUCCGGCUAACUUCGUGCCAGCAGCCGCGGUAAUACGAAGGGGGCUAGCGUUGCUCGGAAUUACUGGGCGUAAAGGGCGCGUAGGCGGACAGCUUAGUCAGAGGUGAAAGCCCAGGGCUCAACCUUGGAAUUGCCUUUGAUACUGGCUGUCUUGAGUUUGGGAGAGGUGAGUGGAACUCCGAGUGUAGAGGUGAAAUUCGUAGAUAUUCGGAAGAACACCAGUGGCGAAGGCGGCUCACUGGACAGGUAUUGACGCUGAGGUGCGAAAGCGUGGGGAGCAAACAGGAUUAGAUACCCCUGUAGUCC